ensembl:lncRNA
GACGGUUGUGAGCCCCUGCUCGAGCUUGAAUAAACGACCCUCGUGUGUUAGCAUCGGAAUCUGCUCCUUGGUGGUCUUUGGGGACUUCGCGAUCUGGGCAUAACAAGGGAACCAACUGCAGAGAGGAGCUCAGCAGAGUGGGAUCUAGAUACAAACAAAAGGAUUUGUCCUAGACACCCAAGAACAAGCCAGAACGAAGCUCUUUCCCGCCAAACGAAGACCAGGAAAUCAACAGCGCCUGCCCAGGCUCCGGGGGGCAAGAGUCGGGAGAAGGAUAGGGCGUGGCAAAAAGAAGUAACAUGGAGGGAAGGAAGGAAAAACCAGACUUUCUUCAUGAGAGCCUUGGAGGUGCAAUGCUUGUUACCCUCCUGCAGUGUGGUGCCUUCUCCAAGCCCUGGAUGGAAGAGGAAAGAGUUGGAAGUUGGGAGCCUCCUGAAAAGCUGCCUAUGAAGUGGUAAAAGCUGAAGAAACUGGUACCCUGACUGGAGUAGAUGGCCAAUGACCAGAAUUGAAUCACCUGGCAUCUGGCUUUUCUUGAUAUUAGUUCCGGAUUUAUGUGAAAGGGUCCUUUAACGUCUCCAAGAAUGGUUCCAAUAGAGUUGGCGGAGAUAACAGAUGUGUAUCACUUUGGUAGAGAUGCUCUUUAAAAGAAGAAAGCCAGCCAUAUUUGCUUAGGUCUAGGACCCCUCCUUGGUGGUUGAUGAAGGAGGGAGGAAGGUACAACCCCAAGCCGAAUAGGCCCCCCAUAGUUUCCUAGUAAUGCAGUAAACAAAUCUAUGAUGCUUGUUGAAUAAUCUUCCAAUAAUUGCAGUCAUUAAAAUCAUCACACAGUCUACCGUCACCUUCCUUCCUUUGACAUACCAGUCUUCCCUUUAAUUGUUAAUGCAUUUUUGGUUCACAUAAACAGAUCAAGGCAAGCUUAAAAUAUAUGGCCCAGAUAAGAUACAUGUGGCAAAAAAAAAUUACUUGUGUACCAAACGUUUGGACUGUAUUUAAGAGACUAGUGGUUUUCAGUUUUUCCAGCAGGCUUUACAGAGGCAAGGAAGAUUCGUACCUCCUACCCCUCUAAAUAGCAGUAACACCUCCGAGGUAGGAAAAUUUUUUUAAAAAGAUGAAAGUCUCAUUGGCCUAUUGAUUCUUCCUGGCUCUUUUAUUUGCAAGGAUUGGGUUGUAAAGAGGGAGGGCAUUAUAGAAC